rnacentral:tRNA from 1 species
UGAUCCCGGGACCCGCGGUGUGGCCGGGCCCUCGAAGGGCCCCGGGGAAACCUCGCGUGACGGGAGGCCGGCUCAGAAUCCGCUGAGGUCAGCC